rnacentral:lncRNA from 1 species
CUGUGUGGUUUUCCAGGACACGAUCAAGAGUUGACGCACACCGCCAGCCAUCCAACACAGAAAUUGGCGGUGACUUCGUCCAGAGACACCACGUUUCGCCUGUGGGACUUCCGGGAAGCCGUCCAUGCUGUGUCGGUGUUUCAGGGGCAUACAGAAAGCGUCACUUCGUCGGUAUUUGCGCGGGAGGACAAAGUGGUGUCCAGCUCGGACGACCGCAGCGUCAAAGUGUGGGAUCUCCGGAAUAUGAGAUCCCCAGUGGCCACCAUCCGAGUGGACUCGGCGGUUAAUCGCCUCUCGGUCUCGGCCAAUGGCGUGAUUGCAAUUCCUCACGAUAACCGCCAUAUUCGCCUGUACGAUCUAUCAGGAGUGAGGUUGGCUAGAUUGCCCAGAUCUAGUCGCCAAGGCCACAACCGGAUGGUUGCUUGCACGGCCUGGUCAGACGAGAUGCUCAGUGGCGUCAAUUUGUACACGUGCGGGUUCGAUAGAAGGGUUCUGGGAUGGUCGGUCAUUUCUUUGAAGGAUAUGUAAGGCCCUGUUGUAGGGCCACUUGUGAUAUAUCUUCGAUUUUAUUCUACGGGGUGUCCUCAGAAGGAUGGCCCGAGGCCAAGUAUGGUAGUUUAAUGGCUUGGAAAUGUUGCCCGAGCCAACUUUAUGAGCACACUCUGUAUAGCGGGUGUUUCAAGUUCCAGUUGUAGGCAUUUAACCCAAACAGGUCAAUCAAAUCUCUUUCGGUUGCGAGAGUGUUUUUUAACUCAAAUUGAGAAACACCCUGUAUAUGGACAGGGUGUUCCGUAA